UGAAAAGCGAUGACGGGAAUAAGUACCCUGAACGGUUCUGCCCAGAGAGGCCCCGGUUGGUGCAAGGGGCGUGCAGAACAGCAGGCGAAAUACCUCCCGGAGCUGCAGGCUGAACGAAUUUUCCAGUAGGCUGUGCCGCGUGCGAGCGUUACAAACGCAGGAGUGUCCUCCGUCUCUGAGGAGUGCACUCGUGAGGCCGUUUCCGUGAGGGAGCGGCAAACAGAGGUGGUACCGCGAUUUUUCUCGCCCUCUGC
rfam:Faecalibacterium sp. CAG:82 genomic scaffold, scf72